GCAAGUCGAGCGGUAACAGAAAGAAAGCUUGCUUUCUUUGCUGACGAGCGGCGGACGGGUGAGUAAUGCCUGGGAAUAUGCCUUAGUGUGGGGGAUAACUAUUGGAAACGAUAGCUAAUACCGCAUAACGUCUUCGGACCAAAGAGGGGGACCUUCGGGCCUCUCGCCAUUUGAUUAGCCCAAGUGAGAUUAGCUAGUUGGUAAGGUAAUGGCUUACCAAGGCGACGAUCUCUAGCUGGUCUGAGAGGAUGAUC
rnacentral:rRNA from 1 species